AUUGAACGCUGGCGGCAUGCCUUACACAUGCAAGUCGAACGGUAACAGGUCUUCGGAUGCUGACGAGUGGCGAACGGGUGAGUAAUACAUCGGAACGUGCCCGAGAGUGGGGGAUAACGAGGCGAAAGCUUUGCUAAUACCGCAUACGAUCUCAGGAUGAAAGCAGGGGACCGCAAGGCUUUGCGCUCACGGAGCGGCCGAUGGCAGAUUAGGUGGUUGGUGGGAUAAAAGCUUACCAAGCCGACGAUCUGUAGCUGGUCUGAGAGGACGACCAGCCACACUGGGACUGAGACACGGCCCAGACUCGUACGGGAGGCAGCAGUGGGGAAUUUUGGACAAUGGGCGCAAGCCUGAUCCAGCCAUGCCGCGUGCAGGAUGAAGGCCUUCGGGUUGUAAACUGCUUUUGUACGGAACGAAAAGACUCUGGUUAAUACCUGGGGUCCAUGACGGUACCGUAAGAAUAAGCACCGGCUAACUACGUGCCAGCAGCCGCCGUAAGAC
rnacentral:rRNA from 1 species